rnacentral:misc_RNA from 1 species
UGUACGUUACAAACUGUAAGCCAAUAGCACUGAUGAACGUUUCCAAUAAUGUCUGUUCAACAUUAUGUUUAUUUUAGUUAAAAGCUGGAUAAUCUGUUUACAGGUAGACAUUAUUCAGUGCCUAAUUCCUAGCGAUUACAGAGCGAAUAAUCAUUACCUUAUAGCAAAGUAGCGAGUCUAUGCACUUAAAGGUUUUUCUGAUACUCACAUUUUUGCUCUAGUACAAAUGUUAUGAUGCGAGAUGCGGACUUGAUUGUUUGUUCAAUGGAGUAAGGAAUACAACAGUAUAAAUAUUUAUUGGAUAUUGUUCAACUUGUAAAGAAGCAAAAUAGACACACAGGCUGAGUAAAGAAACCAUUCGCAAAACCGAGCAGCGUGUGUAGAAUAUAUUUCUUUCUAACUUGAACUGUUCUUAGGAAUAACUGAACGCUUCAUUACAGUUAUGUUAUAACGUUUCGCUCAUCUUGUUAUAACUGAGUUACAACUGUUAUGAUAUUAUGAAUAGUGCCUCGUGCACGAAAACAAAGUUCAGUUCAUGAUACAUUGAAUGUACUCUUUGGCUUUAUUUAAAUCGCUGGAAUUUUGGAGUAAUAAAACUACCAUGUCAGUACACAGGACAGUUGUUAUUGCAAUAGACGACAGUUUUCAUUCAGAAUUCGCUUUUGACUUUUACGUGGAAAAAUGUACACAGGGAAGGAGAUCGGAUAGUUCUUGUUCAUGUCCCUGAAUACAGCAACGUAUUGUCAACCUCGUCAUUGUUGACGGAUCCAAACAUUGUGUCUGAUCUUCUGAAAGAUAAUGAGGAAAGAGUUAGCGACCUUGUAGAGAAGUAUUCCAUGAAAAUGAAAGAAUGUAACUUACGUGGUCACGUCAAGCAGCAGUGCGGGAAACCAGGGGAAGCUAUUGUAGAGGCUGCCAAAGAAGAAGAGGCAUCAAUGUUGAUACUCGGGACCAGGGGAAUGGGUUUGAUUAGAAGAACAUUUACCGGAAGUGUCAGUGAUUAUUGCCUACAUCAUUCGGAUAUUCCAGUUCUUAUAUGUAGGCAUAGUACCGCAUAUCAAACAUUCGAGUGAACACCAUUCUUAACAGUUUUCAUUAAUCUCAAAACGGUCACAGUGUGACGUUGCGUCUGGGUUUUCAUAAUGUCAUUAAAUGAUGUUUGUUCUGUUGUCAAACUGAGACAACAAAACACAAAUGAUGCCAAUAACAGACGGCAAAAUUCAUAGGAAUAUUUUGAGUAUGUGACGAACUACAUUUUGCAUGUUCUAUGAACACGAGAUUGAAAAUAUAGAGACACUCAUGUUAGACGAUAAAACAAUUACCAUUGUAACAACGUUCUUAAGGAAUAUUUCGUUGAACAUGCUUAAUGGGUUAAAAGCAAAAAUCGACUCAUUUCAGGUACCAACACGAGAAGUAUAAAUCGAAACACAAUGAGUACAAGUAUGACUUUAAUAUUAAUUUAUAGGACAUCUUAACCAUAUUAUGUUUCAUAAUUGUGCGUAAUCUUAUUGACAUAAACCAAUUAAACGGAAAUUCUGAAUCCUCGAGUUACAGUUAGGAAUCUGGACAAAAACUAGUCUGAAAAUUUAGUUGAUAUGCAAGUGUUUUCCAAGAACAUUAAAAGUAUAAAAAAGUACUCUGACUUGAUGUUUAAGCCCUAAUGCUUUGAUUAUUUUAUUUAAAACUGGAGCAUCUGCUACAUCUGGAACAUUGAAUAAAAUCGUUUAAGUAGGAAUAACACUGGCAUUUUCUUACUGAAUAUUUAACGAUUAAAAAGUAGUAGAAAUAGAAA